GGCUGUCGUCAGCUCGUGGCGUGAGAUGUUGGGUUAAGUCCCGCAACGAGCGCAACCCUUGUCCUUAUUUGCCAGCAUUAAGUUGGGUACUCUAAGGAGACUGCCGGUGACAAACCGGAGGAAGGUGGGGACGACGUCAAGUCAUCAUGGCCCUUACGACCAGGGCUACACACGUGCUACAAUGGAGCGUACAAAGGGUUGCAACCCCGCGAGGGUGAGCUAAUCCCAUAAAACGUUUCGUAGUCCGGAUCGCAGUCUGCAACUCGACUGCGUGAAGUUGGAAUCGCUAGUAAUCGCGGAUCAGCAUGUCGCGG
rnacentral:rRNA from 1 species